rnacentral:rRNA from 1 species
UACAGAGGUCCCAAGCGUUGUUCGGAUUCACUGGGCGUAAAGGGUGCGUAGGUGGCCAGGUAAGUCUGAUGUGAAAUCUCGGAGCUCAACUCCGAAACUGCAUUGGAUACUAUCUGGCUGGAGGGUCGGAGGGGGGACUGGAAUUCUCGGUGUAGAGGUGAAAUUCGUAGAUAUCGAGAGGAACACCGGUGGCGAAGGCGGCCAACUGGACGAGUACUGACGCUGAGACACGAAAGCGUGGGGAGCAAACAGG